GUCCACUUUCUUCCUUCUCCUCCUGGGAUCUCACAGUGGAGAGUAACUCCCUCUCCUUUAUAUAUCAGAGGCCAGUUUGGUGUCAGGGUCACAGUGGGUCGUUUGGGAACUGAUUUUCCUGUUCCUCCUUCCUGGAUCUC